UACGGGGGGGGGCAAGCGUUGUUCGGAAUUACUGGGCGUAAAGGGUUCGUAGGUGGCUUGUUAAGUCAGACGUGAAAUCCCUCGGCUCAACCGGGGAACUGCGUCUGAGACUGAUGAGCUCGAGGUGCAGGAGAGGACGCGGAAUUCCAGGUGUAGCGGUGAAAUUCGUAGAUAUUGGGAAGAACACCGGUGGCGAAGGCGGCUCACUGGCUCAUUACUGACGCUCAGGCGCGAUAGCGUGGGGAUCAAACAGG
rnacentral:rRNA from 1 species